CCUACGGGAGGCUGCAGUGGGGAAUAUUGGACAAUGGGGGGAACCCUGAUCCAGCCAUGCCGCGUGUGUGAAGAAGGCCCUCGGGUUGUAAAGCACUUUCAGUGAGGAAGAACGCCUGGUGGUUAAUACCCAUCAGGAAAGACAUCACUCACAGAAGAAGCACCGGCUAACUCCGUGCCAGCAGCCGCGGUAAUACGGAGGGUGCGAGCGUUAAUCGGAAUUACUGGGCGUAAAGCGCGCGUAGGUGGCUUGAUAAGCCGGUUGUGAAAGCCCCGGGCUCAACCUGGGAACAGCAUCCGGAACUGUCAAGCUAGAGUGCAGGAGAGGAAGGUAGAAUUCCCGGUGUAGCGGUGAAAUGCGUAGAGAUCGGGAGGAAUACCAGUGGCGAAGGCGGCCUUCUGGACUGACACUGACACUGAGGUGCGAAAGCGUGGGUAGCAAACAGGAUUAGAUACCCCUGUAGUC
rnacentral:rRNA from 1 species